UAUAUAUAUAUAUAUUUGUGAAGUUGCUUUAAGUACUAAUAAGCAAUGUACAAAAUGUUUGAAAUAUUUUACAUUAUCCUAUCUUUAUAAGAAAUGCAGUUAUUUUCAUAUUUUAAACAUAAACAAACAGCAUAAAAACAUGUGUGAUAACAAUUGGAUACAUUUAGCAAGUCUUGAAGAAAAUGUGCAAGCAACAAUUAGACUUGUUGUUAAUACUGAUGGAAUUCCUGUUUUUAAAUUAUCAAAGUGGACCUUGUGGCCUUUGCUAGCAUCCAUUCAUAAUUUUCCAUAUUCAUUGCAAAUUACUAAUAUUUUGUUUUUUGGUUUCUGGUCCAGUUUUAAAAAACCAAACGUGCAAUUAUUUUUAUCUUGUUUUGUUGAUUUUUUACUAACCUAUCCACUACUGGUAUACUCUUAUCUAAUAAUGUUCGUGUUUUUUUUUCAUGUAUUUAUUUUUUUGUGUGAUACAAUUGCAGGAGCUAUGGUUUUUUGUUGUAGGUAGUUUAAUGAUUAUAAUGGUUGCCAUUGGUGUUCUUCUCAAGGGAAGACACUGUACUGUUGUAAAUAAUCUUUUAUCUGCAAUCAGUGUGCCAAGCAAUAUAAGACAGACUCGAUGAUCAUUAAGUUGUAUAAAGCAUUGGAAAGGAUAAAAGUGAUAAAAUGCUAUUGGUUGGAAAUUGAUAAAUUAAUAAAAAAUGAUUGAUUCUAAUUGCGCGAAAAUAUGUUGAUA